rnacentral:rRNA from 1 species
GACGAACGCUGGCGGCGCGCUUAACACAUGCAAGUCGAACGGAAAGGCCUGCUUUCCCUUGUGGAUUGCGGGUACUCGAGUGGCGAACGGGUGAGUAACACGUGAGUGAUCUGCCCCCAACUUGGGUAUAAGCCUGGGAAACUGGGUCUAAUUCCCGAUAGGACUGCAGGGUGGUGCCUGUGGUGGAAAACGAUUUUCUAGUGGUUGGGGAUGAGCUCGCGGCCUAUCAGCUUGUUGGUGGGGUAAUGGCCUACCAAGGCGGCGACGGGUAGCCGGCCUGAGAGGGUGGACGGCGACAUUGGGACUGAGAUACGGCCCAGACUCCUACGGGAGGCAGCAGUGGGGAAUAUUGCACAAUGGGCGGAAGCCUGAUGCAGCGACGCCGCGUGGGGGAUGACGGCCUUCGGGUGGUAAACUCCUUUCGACCGCGAGGAAGCCACCUGGUUGGAAGGGUGGUGACGGUAGUGGUAGAAGAAGCACCGGCUAACUACGUG